GUACUCACUUCGGCAGCACAUAUACUAAAAUUGGAGCAAUACAGGGAAGAUUAGCAUGGACCCUGCGCAAAGAUUAACUCAAACUAAUAAACAGCUUUCCUUUAU